AUUGAACGCUGGCGGCAUGCUUUACACAUGCAAGUCGAACGGUAACAGGGUGCUUGCACCGCUGACGAGUGGCGAACGGGUGAGUAAUGCGUCGGAACGUGCCGAGUAGUGGGGGAUAACGCAGCGAAAGUUGUGCUAAUACCACAUACGUACUGAGGUAGAAAGUGGGGGACCUUCGGGCCUCACGCUAUUCGAGCGGCCGACGUCUGAUUAGCUAGUAGGUGAGGUAAAGGCUCACCUAGGCGACGAUCAGUAGCGGGUCUGAGAGGAUGAUCCGCCACACUGGGACUGAGACACGGCCCAGACUCCUACGGGAGGCAGCAGUGGGGAAUUUUGGACAAUGGGCGAAAGCCUGAUCCAGCCAUGCCGCGUGUCUGAAGAAGGCCUUCGGGUUGUAAAGGACUUUUGUCAGGGAGGAAAUCCCUAGUGCUAAUAACACUGGGGGAUGACAGUACCUGAAGAAUAGGCACCGGCUAACUACGUGCCAGCAGCCGCCGUAA
rnacentral:rRNA from 1 species